rnacentral:rRNA from 1 species
UACGUAGGUGGCAAGCGUUGUUCGGAUUCACUGGGCGUAAAAGGUGCGUAGGUGGUAGGGUAAGUUUGAUGUGAAAUCUCCGAGCUUAACUCGGAAAUGGCAUUGAAUACUACUUUGCUAGAGGAUUGGAGGGGAGACUGGAAUUCUUGGUGUAGCAGUGGAAUGCGCAGAUAUCAGGAGGAACACCGAUGGCGAAGGCAGGUCACUGGGCCGCAACUGACGCUGAGGAGCGAAAGCAUGGGGAGCGAACAGG